CAGUUCAGAUCGUAGGCUGCAACUCGCCUACGUGAAGGAGGAAUCGCUAGUAAUCGCAGGUCAGCAUACUGCGGUGAAUACGUUCCCGGGCCUUGUACACACCGCCCGUCACACCAUGGAAGUUGGCCACGCCCGAAGUCGUUACUCCAACCCUCUGGGAGGAGGACGCCGAAGGUGGGGCUGAUGACUGGGGUGAAGUCGUAACAAGGUAGCCGUACCGGAAGGUGCGGCUGGAUCACCUCCUAA
rnacentral:rRNA from 1 species